AUGUAUAGGCCUACAACAUAGCGUUAAUGCACAAGAUCCCAUUAGAUAUCCGCAGUUAACCGUGCUCGGGAUAGAGUAGUACUGGGAUGGGUGACUUCCCGUGAAGUCUUUGUAUUUUACAUG
rfam:Picea glauca, whole genome shotgun sequence.